rnacentral:lncRNA from 1 species
GAGAAAUGUUUCUCUGGGAGAAGUACUUCUCCCAAAGCUGGAGAGGGAAGGAAGAGAAUCCCAUUUAUGUCCUGGGAAAGCAAGAUUCUCCUUCUGAUGUGGGAGUCUUAUUUUGGGGAGUGGGAAUAGAACAAUUGUCCCCUCAGAGGACAAUAGUUUGACAGGGGUUGGGGAGGAUCUUUCAGUAUGGGAAGGACAUGUUACUUCACAGUAGAGAUAUAGGGUGGAAAUUGGUUUCUAGGUCUAAGAAACAUCCAUUCUCUGCCUUUCUCUCUGAAGAACAAGUCUGUACAAGAGGGGAAACAUCCUAGAGGGGGAAGUGGGUCUGAAAUGAGAGUCACUAACCCACGAGGUGGGCUUCUUCCAUAGGACGAUGGUCUAUUAUCAGACUCCAGACCUCUCCCCGACUGUGCAAGCUGCCGGGGAGAUUCUCAUUUUUGGCCUCUCUCCUUGUGGUGGGUCCCUUUGCCAGUGACCCUUCCAAGAGAGCAGAAUAGGUCCUUUUUGCUCGGCAGGAAAUGUUUUCUCCACCUCUGGACUACUGGGAACAUUCUAUCUCUGAGAGGCAAAGCUGAGCUUCUCAUGAAGAAAAGAUCUUCCUGAAAUAGGUGCCCUUUUCUGAAGUAAGGAAAUCUGUGAGCGAGGAUGCUUUUUUUCUUUUUUAAUUGAACACUAACCCCCUGAGUUAGGGACAUUCUCACAGGAAGACUUUCCAUCUCUUGAAGAAGUUCUGUCUCUCUGAGAGAGAAGAACCACCUUCUUUGACCUAGAAAUUCUGUCUUUGCCCCUCCAGGGACUACCCUGGUGAGGGAAGACUUAGGUGGGAUCUGCCUCUCUAAAGAGAGAGACUGUGUUCCUAGGUGACCAUAGUGGGAACAGGAAUCUUCCCUUUUUCCCCAAAGGAGGGCGAAAUGACGGGCUGCAAGGGUGCCUUGGCCUGAAAAGACGUUCUGUGCCUCCUCUGACUGGGGACUCCUCCCCUAGGAGAAGAAAGCCUUUCCUGGAGUGGUGCUAUGCUUUGUCUCAUAGGGGGCCUGUGUCUCUGGAGGUUUGACUUUUUUUUUUUCUUUGAGACAAGAUCUCGCUCUGUUCCCCAGGCUCUGUCCCCCAGUGCAGUGGUGUGAUCACAGCUCACUGCAACCUGUUCCUCCCAGGCUCAAGUGAUCCUCCUGCCUCAGCCCCCAGAGUAGCUGGGGACUACAGGUGCAUGCUACCAUGCCCGGCUAAUUUUGGGGAUAAAUUUUUUUUUGUAGAGACAGGUUUUCGCCAUGUUGCCCAGGCUGGUCUCAAACUCCUGAGCUCAAGCGAUCUGCCUACCUCGGCCUCCCAAAGUGCUGGGAUUACAGGCGUGAGCCACUGUGCCUGGCCGAGGUUUGACUUCUUUAAAGAUCUGUUCUCUCUGUUUUUCUGUAAUUGAUGCAUGGAGAAUAAUCUUUGGGAAAAUGAGGCUGUCUUUUAAGUAGUAAUCUAUCAUUUCUUUCCCUCUCUUUCCACUCAUGCAAACUGGCUUUCUCUUAAAGGAAUGGAAUUAUGUGCCUGAGGGACAAAUUCUCCCUUGGGAAUGUUGGGGCCAGGGAGAGAAUGAUAUCCUUUUUUUUUUUCUAGAGGGGAAAAUUAUUUUCUUUUUGAGUUUGGGGGACUGGCUCCCUCUCUGCUAGGGGAAAAUCUGAAUUUGAAGUAUCG